rnacentral:tRNA from 1 species
GCCGGGAUUGUCCAACGGAACGACGGCGGUCUCUGAAACCGCAGAUGCAGGUUCGAUCCCUGCUCCCGGCUCCA